GUGCUCGUUUCAGCAGCACAUAAACUAAAAUUGGAACGAUACAGAAAAGAUUAGCAUUGCCCCUGCACAAGAAUGACAUGCAAAUUUUUGAAGUGUUUCAUAUUUUU